GAAGAGGCAAAGAGAGAAGUCAAAGAAGGAACAAAGCUUGGAGUGGAAAAUCUGAUGGAGAAUUCAAGUGUCAGGGUCAUCUGACCAGCAUCCUGACCCCACUGGCUCACAAUGUGAGGCUGUGGAGGCUGCUGCUCUUCUCGGAACCUUUCUCUUGGGUCCCACAGAGGUGAAAGUCAUCCUGUGACACUGGUUAGCACAAGCUGCACACAGUACUCAGCAGGAUUCCUGCUCGCUCUCAAAAGCCAUACUAUAUUGCUGAAGGAAGUCAGGGCAGAAUCCUGGAGCCAGGAGCUGAUGCAGAGACCAUGGAAGAUUGCUGCUUACUGGCUUGCUCCCAGUGGCUUGUUCAGCCUGCUUUCCUAAAGAUCCCUGGAUCACCAGCUAAGGGUGGCCACACCCACAAUGACCUGGACCCCUCCUACACCAAUCAAUACUUAAGAAAAUGUCCUUCAGGCUUCCUCUUUCUCAUUGGAGGGAUUUUCUCAGUUGAGAUUCCCUCUUUCAGACAACUCUACCUUGUGUAAAGUUGACGUAGGACUAGCCAGGUAAGGAGGGCUAAGAGCACCAUCUACUAUCUCAGGUGGUAUCCAGAUACCUGAAAUAUAACUACCAACAUACCUGGACAGGGCUUCUAAUACAGGCAAGCAAGCAAGAGUCUUCAAGUGUUGGAGGGAAGAAUUCUUUGGUGUGUCUCAGCGUGUGUGUGUAUAUGUAUGUGUGUGUGUGUGUGUGUGUGUAUACACAUCCUUCUCAAGCAAGGUUAGCACAUAGUUUGUCAGGCUCUGUUCUUAAAAGCCCUAUAGUUAUACAUAAAUCAAAAAGAUAUUUUGACUAGCUAAGGGAACUCAGUCAUUAAUAGCAAAAAUAGAUAAAAGAAUGUUAAAAAUUGUAUGUAUGUAUGUGUAUUUUUAUCUGUAUAAAAAGUCUUCUAGAAAGAGCAAUAAAAAACUAUUAGGAGAAUGAAAAUAAAACAAAACAAAACAAAAAACAACAUGAAAAUUUGCUAACUACCACUUGUCUGGGAGGCAACAGAAAUUUUCUGCCAUGUCAGGGCUAUAGCAGUCAGGUCUACAGCAAAUAUUAGAACAAAUGUACAUAAUGUCAAGGGGUAUAAUAGAUAAGAAAAUAAAACAAAUAAUCUACUUGUUUCUUUUGGUAGUCAAAUCCUCAAGUUUCCACUCUGCACAGCCUGGUGAGCUCCCAGGGUAGCUCUAGCAUCAUCCUCCUGUCUUACUGGUCUUCCAGCAUUAAAGCUUGCUCACUCCACAUGGUCAGUUUACAUGAUGUUGACAAAUCAGGAACACAUUCCCAGUUGCAAGAGGCUGGCUUCAUUCUGUUGUGUUGAGCCCAGGAAAUCAUCUCUGCCACCAUUAGUAUAGAGGGAUGGAUUCCAAGGCAAGCAAACAUGUCCACCAUGGAUCCCGCCGAGUUUUCACACCUCACACAAGGAUUGGAGCUUAGUUUGAAUAGUUAGAGCUUAACUUUAUGGUUUUACAUGGUUGACUUGGCUUUGUAAUUGUGCAUUCAGAAAAAGAAAAUGUGUUCAAAUGCUACCACUGAAAAGUGUAGUACAACUUUGGCAAACAAUGUGGAACCUUAAGCACAUAUUUUGAUUUUCAGAAGUGUUGACCCUGCAGAAUUUUGACUUUCUCUUAAAUGUCUCUUAAAUAUUUAUUAACAAUACAUUUAUAAAAUGUAACUAAUGUUUUCAAUUUUUGUUUGUGAUAUUCAUCCAGAAUAUAUUAUGAUAAUAUUUAUG